UCCCUCUCAGGGUCGCACCUGGAGAGUUUCCAGUCCUCUACCAGUCUCGGCUACGGGAGGGAGCGUCAAGCAGAGGCCCGUCCAUUCCAUUCCUAGCUUGGGCAGAGACUAGCGAGUGGAAGGCGGUCCGCUACAAAU
rnacentral:snoRNA from 1 species